rnacentral:rRNA from 1 species
GAUGAACGCUGGCGGCGUGCCUAAUACAUGCAAGUCGAGCGAAUGGAUUAAGAGCUUGCUCUUAUGAAGUUAGCGGCGGACGGGUGAGUAACACGUGGGUAACCUGCCCAUAAGACUGGGAUAACUCCGGGAAACCGGGGCUAAUACCGGAUAACAUUUUGAACCGCAUGGUUCGAAAUUGAAAGGCGGCUUCGGCUGUCACUUAUGGAUAGACCCGCGGCGCAUUAGCCAGUUGGUGAGGUAACGGCUCACCAAGGCAACGAUGCGUAGCCGACCUGGGAGGGUGAUCGGCCACACUGGGACUGAGACACGGCCCAGACUCCUACGGGAGGCAGCAGUAGGGAAUCUUCCGCAAUGGACGAAAGUCUGACGGAGCAACGCCGCGUGAGUGAUGAAGGCUUUCGGGUCGUAAAACUCUGUUGUUAGGGAAGAACAAGUGCUAGUUGAAUAAGCUGGCACCUUGACGGUACCUAACCAGAAAGCCACGGCUAACUACGUGCCAGCAGCCGCGGUAA